GACGAACGCUGGCGGUGUGCUUAACACAUGCAAGUGGUGCGACGAACCAGAGCCUGCUCUGGGGCAAAGCCGCGAACGGGUGAGUAACACGUGGGUAAUCUACCCCGAUGACCGGGACAACCCGAGGAAACUCGGGCUAAUACCGGAUGUGGUACGGAGACAUAAGUCUCUUUACUAAAGGUAGCUUCGGCUUCCGCAUUGGGAGGGGCCCGCGGCCCAUUAGCUAGUUGGUGGGGUCAAGGCCUACCAAGGCAACGAUGGGUAGCUGGUCUGAGAGGACGAUCAGCCACACUGGGACUGAGACACGGCCCAGACUCCUACGGAGGCAGCAGUGGGGAAUCUUGCGCAAUGCGCGAAAGCGUGACGCAGCAACACCGCGUGAGGGAAGACGGCCUUAGGGUUGUAAACCUCUUUCAGAUGGGACGAAGGUGAUGCGGUGAAUAGCCGAUGUCAUUGACGGUACCGUCAGAAGAAGCUCCGGCUAACUACGUGCCAGCAGCCGCGGUAAU
rnacentral:rRNA from 1 species